AGAAAAACAAAAACAUAAACAUUAAGCAUAGAAUUUCAAGUUGUUUCUACACAUGCGGUUAAAGUUUGAGAUCAUUUCAAUGAAAACUGGUGAAGGUAUUAGACUACGAAAGGAUCUAAAUUUUUCUUAAACAGCCUGUACAUACAGCACACCAAAUACUUUGUUGAAUGGCCCUUAGCAUCUUUCACCUUGACCAGACACUUGUGGUAACCAUCAUGAACCAUUCUGGUUUCUGGUUAGUUAUUUGACUGCAUAUCUUGGGAGAAAUGGACAAGUUUCGGUUAAACUUGUUGGUUUCCUGGUGAGGACCCAAUGUUUAAGCACAGCCCAGAUAUUUUAAAAUGUAAUGUUGGUGUACUUUAUCCAUGCGACAACCAACUCUGAUGUCUGCUUGGGUCAAUGUACUGCUAGAACAAACAACUGAAUCCAAGUUUCACUCAUGUAGCUGAAGGUUUGAGGAUUUGGUGAAAAAUUCUGACGUCCUCAUCCUCCAUUACUUCAUCCACUUUGUACAAAGCAACAAUUCCACUGGCAGCAAAACAGCCCUAGAACACGAUGGUGCCACAACCAUCCUUAACAGCACAUAUUGUGUUGUGGGGGUUGGAAGUCUCACUU